rnacentral:ncRNA from 2 species
UGCCCGUCCGUGGGAGAGAGCAGCCCGGCUGCCGCCGAAGGGGAAAUCGCCCGAAAUCUCUCAGGCAAAAGAACCGCGAAUGGGUU